UGAGGCACACUUCACCAAGCAGUGUAGAUAUUUCAUCUCUGCUUACUAAAAUACAGAAUUUAGUCAAGCAUUAACGUUUUAAUUACAGAUUCUCCACUCCCUCAAAUCCAUGUCCUACAGCCAUGAAUUUCCAAGCAUCUUGGAGCCAUUAACGUGGUUCAACUAAGAACAUGUGGUUACUCUGCUCAUAUCAAACAUGCUUUUGGACCUUCAUCCAGCUUUUGAUAAUCUGUUUUGUAAAUGGCUUCUCUUCUUCCUCCUUUUCACUGCUUGACCUUUGAGUAUCCAUUUAAAACAUAACUGAAUACUUGUGGAGAAGAGUGGUGACAGGAAGACUGAACUAGCAGAAAUUUGGAGAAAAGCUUAAGUCUAAGAAGCUGAGCAGCCAAAGGUCACGGUUUCAAGUCUCAGAUCAGAGUGGGGCACAGCCAAGGGGCAGCCUCUGCCUCCCAUCACUCCAACAGAGUAAGAAAGAGAAAGCCCCAGUAUCACAACGUCCCUAGGCUGGUCAACCAGCCACAGAUGCCCAGCUUCUACCCUCCAAUAAACCCUCCAAUUUACUUCUUGCUGCCAGGGCAUCUACCCAGCAUCCCAUCCUCACACUUUUCCUCUGACAAAAGUCCAGAAAGGCUCCCCACAACUCACCACAUGUGCACUACCUAGGCUGGC
rnacentral:lncRNA from 1 species